ACUCAAAGGAAUAGACGGGGGCUCACACAAGCGGUGGAGGAUGUGGCUUAAUUCGAGGCUACGCGAAGAACCUUAUCCUGGUCUUGACAUGCUUAGGAAUCCUCUUGAAAGAGAGGAGUGCCCUUCGGGGAGCCUUUGCACAGGUGCUGCAUGGCUGUCGUCAGCUCGUGUCGUGAGAUGUCGGGUUAAGUCCCUUAACGAGCGAAACCCUUGUCUCUAGUUGCCAGCGGGUAAUGCCGGGGACUCUAGAGGGACUGCCGGUGUUAAACCGGAGGAAGGUGGGGAUGACGUCAAGUCCUCAUGGCCUUUAUGACCAGGGCUGCACACGUCCUACAAUGCAUUGUACAAAGGGAAGCAACCUCGCGAGAGCAAGCAAAUCCCAAAAAGCAGUGCCCAGUUCGGAUUGCAGGCUGCAACUCGCCUGCAUGAAGCCGGAAUCGCUAGUAAUCGCGGGUCAGCAUACCGCGGUGAAUAUGUUCCUGAGCCUUGUACACACCGCCCGU
rnacentral:rRNA from 1 species